rfam:Pan troglodytes isolate Yerkes chimp pedigree #C0471 (Clint) chromosome 15, whole genome shotgun sequence.
GCUGGGCGUGGUGGCGUGCGCCUGUAGUCCCAGCUACUUAGGAGGCUGAGGCAGGAGAAUUGCUUGAACCCAGGAGGUGGAGGUUGCAGUGAACCAAGAUGGCACCACUGCACUCCAGCCUGGGUGACAGAGCAAGACUCUGUCUCAA